CUUAGAACAGAGAAUGUCAGAGCUGGGAGGGGUCAGUGUUACCAGGGUUCUCAGACACUGUGUAGCGUAGCCAUCUCAGUGUUGAGAUGUGGUAAACCUAUACUUAGUAGCUGUCUUCUAACUGGUGAGUGGGAAUAUUACGGGGAAAUGGGUCUUGCUAUUUUCAGACUUUUAAAAAACAGGUGCCUGGGCCACUUCUGAAGUUGAGGGUGAAAGAUAAAGGAGCGAGCAUGGCCCCCAGGAGAGGCAGAGCCAGCUCAAAGACAGCACUUCACAAGGGCCCGAGUGCCUAAAGGUGUCAGGUCUGGGGACCAUGGCUUGCCUGGCCAGGGGAGAAUGGUCUCUGCUCUCAAAGUCUCUUCAGAAGAAGCAUUAUGGAUUUUUGCCCUCUCGAAUGGAAGCUGCUGGUUGCUUUGGAGUUGCAAAGAUUCUUUUUCCAGCAAUGUCCUGGCCUCCUACAGAAAACCUCCUUUGUCAGAAGAGAGACCCAGACACCUUCUGCCCAGGAUUCUUGCCCAACAGAACCCUCUGGAGCUCCUCCAGCAGAAAUGAAACCCAGAGACUUUUAAUGAAUGUCUGUAAACAUUCCACUUUUCCCCAGGAUUCUUUGGGUGCUCUUCAAUGCCAUCCAUAAAAUGAUCCCACUUCCCUCCCCCUCAUCAAGGGAUACCUCCCAUGAACCCGAGCCUUCCUCCAGCUGGAAGCAUUUCCCCAGGAAGCACCAAACAAAAGGAAUGGGGCGAUUUCAUAACUGGCAAAGAAGACUAAAGAUACAGUUUAAAUUUUUUUUUGUAUUGCAUCUAAUUGCAAUCAACAGCAGACAUCUGACACAGUGACAUCAGCAGAAUUUCAGCUGAGAGCACAGAAUCUUUGUCUAAAAAUAAUCAGCCCCUCCGUGCACCGCUGUUUGUUAUAACGGUAAUCGAUGCGGCCGGCUUUGAAUUCCAUCAAUUUAUAGAUCUGCUCUCCUCUCUGCCUGGUGAUUGUGUUCUGCACACACAGGAGCUCUCUCUUUCUCCUCUCUCUCUCUCUCUCUCUCUCUCUCUCUCUCUCUCUCUGUCUCUCUUUUCCCUCUCUCCUAGCUG
rnacentral:lncRNA from 1 species